GAUGAAGAACGCAGCGAAAUGCGAUAAGUAAUGUGAAUUGCAGAAUUCAGUGAAUCAUCGAAUCUUUGAACGCACAUUGCGCCCGCCAGUAUUCUGGCGGGCAUGCCUGUUCGAGCGUCAUUUCAACCAUCAAGCCCCAGGCUUGUGUUGGGGACCUGCGGCUGCCGCAGGCCCUGAAAACCAGUGGCGGGCUCGCUGUCACACCGGGCGUAGUAGAUUUUAUCUCGCUCAGGGCGUGCUGCGGGUUCCGGCCGUUAAAAAGCCUUUUUUACCCAAGGUUGACCUCAGAUCAGGUAGGAAUACCCGCUGAACUUAAGCAUAUCAAUAAGCGGAGGA
rnacentral:misc_RNA from 1 species